AUUGAACGCUGGCGGCAUGCCUUACACAUGCAAGUCGAACGGUAACGGGCCUUCGGGUGCCGACGAGUGGCGCACGGGUGAGUAAUACAUCGGAACGUGCCCGACCGUGGGGGAUAACGAGGCGAAAGCUUUGCUAAUACCGCAUACGAUCUACGGAUGAAAGCAGGGGACCGCAAGGCCUUGCGCGGACGGAGCGGCCGAUUGCAGAUCAGGGAGUUGAUGGGAUAAAAGCUUACCAAGCCGACGAUCUGUAGCUGGUCUGAGAGGAUGAUCAGCCACACUGGAACUGAGACACGGCCCAGACUCCUACGGGAGGCAGCAGUGGGGAAUUUUGGACAAUGGGCGCAAGCCUGAUCCAGCCAUGCCGCGUGCAGGAUGAAGGCCUUCGGGUUGUAAACUGCUUUUGUACGGAACGAAAAGACUUCUUUUAAUACAGGAGGGUCAUGACGGUACCGUAAGAAUAAGCACCGGCUAACUACGUG
rnacentral:rRNA from 1 species